AUGGCGCACCAGCCAGAAAUACUAAUGGCGCACUCACACGUGGUGCGCCAUCUACAACGACCGCUUCAUCCCCAGCCGCACCGGAUCCAACCUCGCGCUCUUCGACCUCGCCCCGGCCCCCUCCUCCUCUGCCUCCGGAUCUGCUGCUCCCCCUCACCCUACUGCGCGCUCCUCCGCGCGGCGCUCUUCGGGCCCGACACGCCCGACCGCCUCGCCUCCUCCGCCGGGGCCUCCUCCUCCGCGGCCUCCCUCGUCGGCUCCCCCGCCAGCGGCAACAUAUUCCGCUUCAAGGCCGAGGUGCCGAGGAACGCCAAGCGGGUGCUCUUCGCCGGCGGGGACGACCAGGACCUGCUCUUCCCCGGCAUCUUCACCCCCAAGGGCUCCGGCCCCAGGAAGAUCCCCAGGUCGCCCUACAAGGUGCUGGAUGCGCCCGCAUUGUAG
rnacentral:rRNA from 1 species